AUAGCCAGAAUAUACGCAAAACGCUUAAAUGAGAAGUUGAGUGAUUUGUUGGUUCCUGGGCAGAUUUGUACAGUUACAGGAAGAUCCAUUACUCAAUGGUGGGGACCAUGGCGGACAUCUCCAGGUGGAAGUGUACAGUGAGCACCAGAUCUCCGAGAGCUGCCUCACAUGUGGAGGCAGUGCGCCUCUUGGCGGUAGAUGCGUCGAAUCAACUUCCAAGUCUCCCGAAUGCAGAUCUGGAUGGGAAAAGACCAGGUCUAUGCGUCAAUCAGUGGUAUGGAGUUCCAUGACUUCGGUUAUGGAUGUUAACAAGCCAAAAAAAUAAAUAAAUAAAUAAAGAAUGUCGA